GCUUAGGAUAUGUAAUAGAGUGACUGCAUGUGCAUCCUCAAUAAAAGAUAAAGUGAACAGUUACAUUUUAAUGUCCGGGUCAAAUGGGAAGCUGGAUAUAAAAUUUCUGUCAUAUAGAGAGGAAAAGGAAGUCAAUGUUAUAAUACAGGAGAUCUCCUAACUCAUCAUAUAGAGAGGAAAAGGAAGUCACUAUCUAUGAUUCUUUUUUUUCUUUUUUUCCUUUUUAAAGACAUGGAUUAACACCACUUGGUGAAUUAGCAAACAUCAUGGGCCAAGUUUUUCUUAAGCCUGAUGUUUUUUUUUUGUUGUUUAAUUCUUGUCAGCAACUGGCCCACCUUUCCACAAAUCUUCAUCAAGGGAGAGUUCGUCGGAGGGUCCGAUAUAAUCGUUAACAUGCAUCAGUCUGGGGAGCUGAAAGAAAAGCUCAAGGAUCUUACUGUGGAAGACAACCAGCAAGAGGAGGAUUGAGAUUAAGAAUCAUCAAAUCACUACAGAGCCAAACCUCAGGUUACCUGCAAAUAUGUUCUCUUAUUGCUAUGUUGUGCAAAAGAUAAAAAGGUUUUCCACACAUUCUACCAGGAAGGAGAAAUUCCAUAACAUGUUUAUAAUGGAUAAGGUGCCCAUAUUUGAAGGGCUUGCAAAUCAUGAAAAACAUUCGUGACUAUAGUAGCUGCUGUUAUUCAUCCUGGAGAGACCCUGUUCUCUCUACUUUACCCCAUCUCA